rnacentral:rRNA from 1 species
GACGAACGCUGGCGGCGUGCUUAACACAUGCAAGUCGAACGCUGAAGCUCAGCUUUUGUUGGGUGGAUGAGUGGCGAACGGGUGAGUAACACGUGAGUAACCUGCCUCCUUCUUUGGGAUAACGCCCGGAAACGGGUGCUAAUACUGGAUAUUCACUGGUCUUCGCAUGGGGGUUGGUGGAAAGGGUUUUUCUGGUGGGGGAUGGGCUCGCGGCCUAUCAGCUUGUUGGUGGGGUGAUGGCCUACCAAGGCUUUGACGGGUAGCCGGCCUGGGAGGGUGACCGGUCACAUUGGGACUGAGAUACGGCCCAGACUCCUACGGGAGGCAGCAGUGGGGAAUAUUGCACAAUGGGCGCAAGCCUGAUGCAGCGACGCCGCGUGAGGGAUGGAGGCCUUCGGGUUGUGAACCUCUUUCGCUCAUGGUCAAGCCGCAACAAUGGUUGUGGUGAGGGUAGUGGGUAAAGAAGCGCCGGCUAACUACGUG